UACGUAGGGUGCGAGCGUUGUCCGGAAUUAUUGGGCGUAAAGAGCUUGUAGGCGGUCUGUCGCGUCUGCUGUGAAAAUCCGGGGCUCAACCCCGGACUUGCAGUGGGUACGGGCAGACUAGAGUGCGGUAGGGGUGACUGGAAUUCCUGGUGUAGCGGUGGAAUGCGCAGAUAUCAGGAGGAACACCGAUGGCGAAGGCAGGUCACUGGGCCGCAACUGACGCUGAGACGCGAAAGCGUGGGGAGCAAACAGG
rnacentral:rRNA from 1 species